AUGAGGGGAGCGGGAUGGAGCGGCGUGUGCUCAGUGCGCAGGGUUUGCGUAUCGUCCUGGGUAGGGCACGGCGGUAAAGAAGAGCUUUGAACCGACAGCCGGCGGCCAGAGGAGAGGGGUGCUCUGCCUGGAAGGGGAGGCGGGAGGAUGGGCGGCGGAGACGCGGGUACCGAAGUGUUUCCAUCCGAGCGGGUUAUAUGAAGUCAGCGUGGGUGUUACGUAACCGUCCCGGCGCUGGCGCGGUGUUGGAGUAGAGAACGAAGUUAGGAAAUAAAUAAAAUCGUGAAAUGUGCGGGUCACGCGAAAGCCAGGAGUGUGCAGGGCAGGGACGGCGGGAUGAGCCUGGAGGAGCUCCGCGGUCCAGCGCCUUCCCCAGGCUACGGAUUGAGCGACCCUCCCGGUACCGAAUGUAAAGCCCUCCUGUGUGAGCCGGCCUGGUCACACAGGAGGCGGGCAGCAGCAUUUCUGCACAGUGCGGGACCCAGACACAAAGGGUUUCUUGUCCUCCUGUUUGUGUCCAUUACAUCUCGUCCUGCCACUGAGCAGCACUGAGAAGACACUGGCUCCGUCUUUAUUGGAUGAUAAAUACUGCCUCCUAUCAGUAUUUCUACAAACUGAACAAGCCAGAAAAGAAUCCAGUUCAUGUUUCAGAGUUUGGCUGUUUUGGUGAGACAAAUGACACCUUGGAACCACAAAUACAAGCAAGUUUUCAUUAAAGCAAUGAAAGGUAAACCCAAAUGCAAGGAAAAAGUACAUCUGCAAGAACUGUGAUGCUGUUUUACUGCUGAGACAUAAUAAUAAUAAACAUUUUAAAAGGUUAAACCCUAGUUUAUAAAUAAUAAGAUCAAGUUUCAAACACACAUUGCCAAACAGCUGUUUGAUGCUUUUUUCCCUUCACACUAAGGUUACUCCAUGUGUUCAAGAGCAUGAAGCAAAGGCUCUUCUUACCUGAACACACUGAGGUUUUAACUGGAGGCACUGGGAAGGCAGGUGAGGUUUCACAGCAAAUUUACAGGGGGCUCAGUGACCAAGGUGGACCAGGGAUAACAAUCUGAGCAAUCUGAGACCUAAUGCUGCAGAUUAAUACUACAAUUUCAAACGAGCACCUCGUGACGAGCUAAAAGAAUCCAAACUUAGGGAUAAAGACAAUGAAAUGUAAACUGCAGGCUCUCACCCACAGCAGAAUUUUCUGGCCAUGCAAAGACCAAUACCUAUCCUGGCAGGUUGACUGCUAUCACGUGGCAGGCACCUUGUGCAGUAUUUUCAGCCAAAUUGUCCAAGACUGGUUUUGCAGUCUUGCCCCUGGAGCAAAGCUGACUUUGCUGGGUACAGAGAGAUGCCAAAUAUAGUGGUGGAAUUUAAGACUUGUAGCUUAAGGACUAGGAAACAGCUUCAAUGCUUAAUGAGCAAAAUUAAUCAUGUACAUCAAAGGACCCAGGGGGGUAAUGUCAGAGCUAAGCCGAGCACUGGAGGCUGCUGCUUUGCCAGGUACAUGGAUUUAAUGCUGAUGCCUAGACUGAUGCCUAAAGGGGUGAGUCUCUCCCAGCAGCUUGCACAAUCCCAUUUACACAGAUCACACCCAGCUCUGGGAUGUGUAUUAAAUACACUGCCAUGGCAAAUGUGGUGGCUUCCUGCAAACACCACCUCUUUGGAGGGUUGUAGGGGGGAAGAGGGAAGAGAAUCCACUAAAUUUGGUGGCUCUGAAGUGGUGGCCUGGGUACUCUGGUGGGGCACAGAGGUGCCUUAAGUCAAAAGGUUUUAAGCCCAACAUUAAAAUGGGUCAUACAAUUCAAAUACAUUAUUGCAAGGCUUUCAGUGAGUAAGCAGAAGCUUCCUGUAAAAACACUGCUGAAUUCAGCCCAAGCCAAACAGAACAUAUAAAGUAUGGGGCAACCCUGUAAUACUUCGCUGUCAGUCAAACACUGACAAAAUAAAAGGAGACAAUUUUCAGGUGAGACUUAAGAAAGUUUGGGACUUUAUUCUGUGUUUAUCUGUCAUGAAUGUUUGAUAUUUGGUAGUCUUAUGUUAUACCUCAGAUGUUGCCCACUUAUGGUGUCCCCCUAAACCAUAACCAAAGUCUGUAUUUUAUUUUUAUUUUCAAUAUAAGUACUUGUGAAGGAUUUACUUGUGAAGAACUUUAAGGAUUUACCCAUGACCAUGUGUGUGUAACAAUUUAACACAAAAGCCAGUAAGCCAGAGUUGAGCCUGGCUUAACUCUUAAUUUCAGAGGCACAGCCUAUAGAGCUUUUCUGCUGAAAUUGUAUCUAGGACUACACAAGGAGAGCUGACAAACACCUUCCUCACUGGAGUCUGUGCACCCUUUAGAUAAACUGCUGUCUCUCAUAGAUUAAUCAAGUACUUGGAAGAAGCUCUGCCGGCCUGCCUGGGAAGACACACACUGUGCUAACUUGGGGAUACCUUAAUAAACAAUAUGAUUCACUUUGGAUUUGUAAAACACAAACACUUUAGACUUAAACAUUUUGGAGGAAACCAAAAUGAAAAAAAAAACUGAAGUUAAUUUAGCAACUGUUCCAGCUUGGAUUACUUUCCCAUGCAUACAUGCAUGCACACGUACAUGUGCACACAAAAUAUUCACCAGAGUUCAAGCAAUGUACUGAUUUUUAGGAACUGUGACUUUUCAGGUUUUCUGCACUACUUAGCACACAUCAAACAGGGAUCUGACACAUGAAAGUGACACUAAACCAUUCUUUUGUACGUGGCAGUUCAGUGCAACAGUGAGAAUCAGCCCCACAGGUAAAAUAUCAAGGGAUCAAUUCAAAUGGAUUUCCAGCUGAGCCACAGCAGGCAUGACCAUGGCUUGUUCUCAGAAAGCUCAGCUGGCAGCUGAUGUCUUUUCAGUCACCUCUCAGGCAAACCAGCUCUGUAGCUGGUGAUCUUGUGAUACAAAUAUCCCCAAAUGUAAAAAGGCUGAGUGAUGACAAUGACAAUGAAGAACAGAAUUGUUCAUUAUAUUUUUUACAAAUACUUAUUUCUCUGAAAAUGUUCAUUACUUGAGGACAUGCAGAUCAAUAAAUCAAUAAACAAAUGUAUAGAAAGAUAAAAAUACCAGGCAAAGUGUUACAUUUUUAUUAGGAGAAGAGAACUUUCAUACUGAAUUACCUGGGAUAUAGCCCACGAGCAGGAACUUGAAACUUCACACUGCUGCUGGGGUCUGUCAUUUUCAAUACCAUUAUCUCCGGUGUUGUUCAAAACAGAAAUAGAGUGUUGCUGUUUAUUUGCUAAAGGCCUCAGCUUACACUGAUAAGCACCAGUUAAUCUUCCGAAAUGCUUCUUGAACUAUUAAGUACAGACUCAAUUUUGUAACAGAGUUUAUCUUGCUGUCCUGCUUGCUGCCUGUGUGUGAUCGCCAAUCCUUGCUGUGCCAACUACAGCAGCUGCCACUUUGGAAAACUUAAUUCCUAUCCGGUUUUAUAGAAUGUUUUGAUUUGCAAAGCAGGGAAACCAACAGCAUGUAGCUGCUCAGUUCUUGCUCAUCCAGCAGUAGCUCUGUAUCAGUUCUAUUUCUCUGUCAAAAACCAGUUUUCAUCCUAGGACAUGCUUGUACGUGGAAAGAAAAAGAAGGUGUAAAGAAUGAGGAAAAGUGAAGGGGAAAACUAAAGCAACCUUCCUCUUCUACUCCUGGAGGACAGUGAGACCAGCUACAGAGGAUACUGCAAAACCAUUUUUCUGUACUUUCUUAUGCAAGUUUUGGAAAGAAGUGGUUACAGGAGAGACAGAAGGGAAGAUGUCUGUGGCUCUGAAUUUAACAAGGAAAUUCUGGAGGGACUGCAUCAAGAGAUCUCUAUAUAACACACAGAUGUCAUCUGUGCAAUUACUGCAGGGGCUGAUGGAAUUUCUAGAGGCUCUCUGCUUGGAAUGAGGGCAUAUUAAAUCAGUUACAGUGGGUGAGACCCACUGUACUGUCCUCACUGUUAGGACAGUAACACAGUGAACAGGGUGGUUUUCUCUUGAGGGUGUGUGUGGGGGAUAUGUGUCUGUGGGUGGUUAUAAAUUGUUUUGCAGAGUACUUCAUAUCAUAGAGCAUGUGUUGAGCUUUUGACUCUCAAAAUAACAAGACCAACCCUCUCAAACAAGUUAGAAACCUGUGGCACAGAAGUGAUAAGUCAGCUCAGAGGAGUGGGGUAGGGAUCACAAGAAAGGAAAGAUGUCUGCAUGUGGCGAAGGUGAAAACCACCAACUCUUUUUAACAAUCAUUUCUCUCCAGCUAGGUUACAGCAAGGAACCUAAAAGCCAAGAUUUGGGAAAGAAAGGAACUCAAAAGCAGGGAAACCCAGACAGUGCUAAAGAUGUUAACAAAACAUGCUCCAAAAAGCAAAGAAAUGUGAAAUGCUACUCUUUUACUUUCCUGGCCAACAGUCUAUGCUAGGGAACACCUGUGGAAUGAGCAGAGGUAAGUUUCUGCAGUUGUGUGCAGGCUGCUUGUCUGGCUGUGAGGCACCUCUUCCCCAGGCAUCAGCCUGGCUUCUUCAGAAGUCACUGCCAGGCCAGACAGACAUCUAUGGGAUCAUCUAUGGGAUCAUCUAUGGGAUCAAAGCAACUGAGUUUCUCCUGGAAAUACUGCAGAGAGACAUCCAACAUACUGUGUCUAGCACAUGGCACGCCCUCAAAGUUUGUCCUGCAAACUACAAGAAGUGAUGUAUGAGACUUGCACGGAUGUGAAAUUAAGGGGAAUCACCUACGUGUCCCAAAGGAAUGGUCCCACUAUGGACACCCCAUACUUACCUUCCAGUGUCUCACAGUGUUUCAAAGCACAAUUUGAUGGCAAACUCAACUGCUUCCUUCAGUUCAUAAUAGCAUCAUCCGAUUUGUUCCUUGGUGAAAUCAUGAAACACAGAUAUUUAUGCCUUAAGAUUUUCUGAAAAACUGACAUUUUACCAGCCAUAAAUUAUAAAGACAGUUAUGCCUUUGCAAACUACUCCCAGCAAAACUGGAUGAACACUGUAAUUACUUCUUGCAAUC